rnacentral:rRNA from 1 species
UACGAGAGCCUCAAGCGUUAUCCGGAAUCAUUGGGCGUAAAGGGUGAGUAGGUGGUUUGAUUAGUCUUCUGUUAAAGACUCGGGCUCAACCCGAGAAGAGCAGAGGAUACGGUCAGGCUAGAGUAUGUGAGGGGUGUGUGGAACUCAUGGUGUAGGGGUGAAAUCCGUUGAUAUCAUGGGGAACACCAAAAGCGAAGGCAGCACACUGGCACAUUACUGACACUGAAUCACGAAACCCUGGGUAGCGAAUGGG